UAGUACCAUAUGUAAAGAGUAUCUCCUCAUUUAAGCAUUGUGUAAAUGGCACUUUGUGUUUCCUACUGUACGAGGGUAGUGCACACCCUCUAAGUAGUUCUUAAAUGAACCUUUGCUAAAGGGCUAAGGAAAAGGCUCUAUUACCUUAUAUUGUAAGCACAGAUACCUAUAUAGCUUAUUGUAAUAUAAGAACGCUAUGUUAUAUUAUUCCAAUUUAAUGAGUAGAUGUGAAUUUUGGUAAGUCUCACAACAUACUAUGUAAAGUUUUGAUUCAGGUGGUGUAACAAAUAUUUGGCGAAAUUAAGGAGGGGUGAAUGUAACACGGUUAACACAGUUAACUUAAAUAUAUAAAUGUUCGCCAAAUAUCUCAGAUCUGCAAGAGGUUAAAUUCCUGACAGGAAGAAUCACUUGGACUGUACCAAAAUACUGACCAAAAGUGCAGAAUAUACCUUUGAAUGUUUUACUGUUAAUUAUGUUCUAGUUAAGAAAUAAAUAGUUCUAACAGAGCAGCUAACUUCUGUGGGAAAGAUCAUAGCCACACUCUAAACAGAAUCUUUACCAGACCAUAAUCCUUAAUGGACUUUCCCUUACCCCCUGUCUAUAUCCUACCAUUUGGUCUGGUCCCUCCUCAGUGCUUUAGUUCCACAGAAGAGGUCCCCAGCAGACAGUGCCAAUCAAUAAAGCAUUGUAAAGUUA